AUACAUAGCUCUGGCCAAGAAGUGUGGUUUUGAAGAGGUGUUGAUUCUAAGGAUACCCCCAAUAAACAUCUUUCGUGCUAAAGCCCAUUCCAGAAUUUACUUCCCAGCUAUCUUUGAUGUUCAUAUUGUCAGAGGUGGUGGCCGCUGAAACAGGCAAAGACAUGGAGCAUAUCUUGGGUCCAGGUAAAGGAGGUGGGUGCACACAAGUGAAAAGAUGUUGCUGAAGUCACGUGGCUUCAAGCAGUAGAGCUGACUGUCCUCUAGUCCAGUUGUCCCUACAGGAUAAAAGCUUCUCUCCAUUACAGAGACCUUGGGAGUCCAGAGGAAGGUCUUUUUACCAUCAGCAUUCUCUACUGUGUUCAAUGACUGUCAGCCAAAGAUGGCCAGGUUCUCUACUGUGAUGGUGAAUUUUAUGUGUCAAUUUGACUGGACCAUGGGAUGCCCAGCUUUCCUUCAGAAAGAAAUGCAUUCAAAGAACCUACAUUCACAACAUAAAGAAAUAAAGCACACACAAGACCGCCAAGCAUUAAGAUUCUCCUGUGGAGCCAGGCUACAAUCCUUUAAAUGAAGACAGACAGCUAGGUGGCUGCAGCCCAGCGCUACACCUCACCCCUCCCUCAGUGUCAUGCAGAAAAAAUGUAUUCAGAACUCAGAAGUGAAGUUGUGCAAAUCCAUCAUUGACACUAGCUUCAAGGUUACCUCGGGGGAGCAGAAUGUACCCCUGCCAGAGAGCUGGAUAGAUGAUGAUGGGGACAGAAAUUCUGGGGGAGUUGUAAAUGGCAGCCACUGCCUCUAUAGGAAACCCAAAGGGAACACAGCAGAAGAGGAGGUGGUGGAGGAGCCACUGCCCUCUCGAAGGGUUCAAUGUCAUUCUGCAGACACAACCAAAUAACUUUUUCUUCCCUGCUGCUCCUCCAUUUGAAAUGACAGCCCCGAGCUCGCUUUUUCCUUGAUUGUGUAACUCUGAUUACAGACAAGGCCAAGGCAAUCCCAGGGCAUUACUACAAAGCUAAGGGGUCCCCAAAGAACUAAAGAGUCAGCUCCACAAAAAUCCCGAUUCCUAGCAUGAAACUGAAAUAUGAAACCAAACGGGCAUAGAAAAGGUAUGUGCAUUCGAAUCACAUAGCAGUGACUGGAGUCCUGAGCUGUGUCUGAAGACUGUGAGAUCACGUUUGGAGCUGCUGAUUGGUUUUCAGUGAUGGCCCUGUUGCACAGUGCCGUGAGACUUAGCUCCAUGGCCAAAGACGAUGGUAUCCCCUAGGAGCCCUGUGAGGUUGCUGCUGUUCUCUUAAGACACCAGGUAGCCAUCUGAUCCUCCCUGAGCAAACUAACUGGGCAGACAGGUUUAUUAAACCUCUGUUGGUCCGACUUACAUGAAACAAGAGAGUUAUUUUGUUGUUGUUGUUUUGUUUUGUUUUAAAUUAAACCUGUCUUUGGAGCCUCCUGCUCUUAGUUUACAAGUCUUCUUUGCACACUCUAAUAUUUUAAGAAGCAGCAAACAUUAACUGAGGGUCUA
rnacentral:lncRNA from 1 species